ACGGGUGAGUAACACGUAACAACCUGCCUUAAGGAUGGGGAUAACAGACGGAACGACUGCUAAUACCGAAUACGUUCUAAGCAUCGCAUGAUGCAUAGAAGAAAGGGUGGCCUCUACAAGAAAGCUAUCGCCUUAAGAGGGGUUUGCGACUGAUUAGGUAGUUGGUGAGGUAACGGCUCACCAAGCCGACGAUCAGUAGCCGGUCUGAGAGGAUGAACGGCCACACUGGAACUGAGACACGGUCCAGACUCCUACGGGAGGCAGCAGUGGGGAAUCUUCCGCAAUGGACGAAAGUCUGACGGAGCAACGCCGCGUGAACGAAGAAGGUCUUCGGAUUGUAAAGUUCUGUGAUUCGGGACGAAAGGGUUUGUGGUGAAUAAUCAUAGACAUUGACGGUACCGAA
rnacentral:rRNA from 1 species